ACCUAGAGACCGGCGCACGGGUGCGUAACGCGUAUGCAAUCUACCUUUCACAAAGGGAUAGCCCAGAGAAAUUUGGAUUAAUACCUUAUAGUAAUACGACUUGGCAUCAAGAUGUAUUUAAAGAUUUAUCGGUGAAAGAUGAGCAUGCGUCCCAUUAGCUUGUUGGUAAGGUAACGGCUUACCAAGGCAACGAUGGGUAGGGGUCCUGAGAGGGAGAUCCCCCACACUGGUACUGAGACACGGACCAGACUCCUACGGGAGGCAGCAGUGAGGAAUAUUGGACAAUGGGCGCAAGCCUGAUCCAGCCAUGCCGCGUGCAGGAUGACGGUCCUAUGGAUUGUAAACUGCUUUUAUACAGGAAGAAACACUCGGACGUGUCCGAGCUUGACGGUACUGUAGGAAUAAGGAUCGGCUAACUCCGUGCCAGCAGCCGCGGUAAUACGGAGGAUCCAAGCGUUAUCCGGAAUCAUUGGGUUUAAAGGGUCCGUAGGCGGUCAGAUAAGUCAGUGGUGAAAGCCCAUCGCUCAACGGUGGAACGGCCAUUGAUACUGUCUGACUUGAAUUAUUAGGAAGUAACUAGAAUAUGUAGUGUAGCGGUGAAAUGCUUAGAGAUUACAUGGAAUACCAAUUGCGAAGGCAGGUUACUACUAAUAUAUUGACGCUGAUGGACGAAAGCGUGGGUAGCGAACAGGAUUAGAUACCCUGGUAGUCCACGCCGUAAACGAUGGAUACUAGCUGUUGGGAGCAAUCUCAGUGGCUAAGCGAAAGUGAUAAGUAUCCCACCUGGGGAGUACGUUCGCAAGAAUGAAACUCAAAGGAGUUGACGGGGGCCCGCACAAGCGGUGGAGCAUGUGGUUUAAUUCGAUGAUACGCGAGGAACCUUACCAAGGCUAAAUGUAGAUUGACCGGUUUGGAAACAGACUUUCGCAGACAUUUACAGUGCU
rnacentral:rRNA from 1 species